CAUGUGGAAUGUAGUGCCAUCAAGCAGAUGGAACUGGCCAACUUUAAGGGAAACUAUUCCUAAAGUUGGAGUACGAAACUCUCGUCUGGUGGCUCCAAUGCCCACUGCUUCCACUAGUCAGAUUCUUGGCAACAAUGAGUACUUUGAACCAUACACGUCUAACAUAUACAGUCGGUGGGUUCUAAGUGGGGAGUCUGCAAGUGGUUAACAAGCAUCUUCUCCAUGAUUUGACUGAGAUGGGUAUCUGGACACCUGCUCUGAAAAAUAAGAUAAUUUAUGAAGAUGGUUCUGUUCAGAAGAUGGGAGAAAACCCUGAUGAUCUUAAAGCAAUUUACAAGUAUGUGGUUCACCUUCCUCUCGUUACAUUCUACUCGAUGCAGUUGAUCUGAAAGCAUACCCAAUUAUUGUAUCAACACUGUUUGGGAGAUCAACUAGAAAACUCUGGUUGACAUGGCUGUUGAUCGUGGAUGCUACAUCGAUCAGAGCCAGAGCCUUAAUGUCCACAUGGAUCAACCAAACUUUGCAGAGCUAACUUCGUUGCAUUUCCAUGCUUGGUCCAAGGGCCUGAAAACUGGGAUGUACUAUUUAAGAACUAGGGCAGCCGCUGAUGCAAUCAAGUUUAUGACUUUAUGUAGGUGUUGUUGGGUUUAAGAUCAGAGGAGUUCCUUUGGUGGGCAGCCCUUGAUGGCUGAGUUGCCAACGUUGGCUUGUGUUGUAUUUGUACUAUCUAAAAACAUGGGUUGCUGCAGCUGUAUAUAUAUGUAUCAUUGUUCGUGUUAUCGAUUUGUUCUGUCGUUGCUGUUAUAGUUGUAUAUGCAUCAAUC